CCCAAAACCAGCCCAAUUAAAUUUUUAAAGGCUAAUGGGUUCUCUACAGCCCAACUAGAAAACCCUAGGGUUUUCCCUUUCCUCACAUUAUAAAAGGAAGCCCCCACCUCCUUUACCUCUCAUCAGAAGUUUAGAAGCGAAGCCCUGCAGAGAAUUCCCGGAGACUGAAAGCCCUAGCCGUCGACUUUCUCUCUCUCCCCGCGCCGCCUCUCUCCUCCUUCUCUCUCUUCGCCGCGUCU
rnacentral:lncRNA from 1 species